CACGUAGGGUGCGAGCGUUGUCCGGAAUUAUUGGGCGUAAAGAGCUCGUAGGCGGUGUGUCGCGUCGGCCGUGAAAACCUGCAGCUUAACUGUGGGCUUGCGGUCGAUACGGGCAUCACUGGAGUUCGGCAGGGGAGACUGGAAUUCCUGGUGUAGCGGUGAAAUGCGCAGAUAUCAGGAGGAACACCGGUGGCGAAGGCGGUGGUCUGGGCCGGAACUGACGCUGAGGAGCGAAAGCGUGGGGAGCGAACAGG
rnacentral:rRNA from 1 species